CCUACGGGAGGCAGCAGUGAGGAAUAUUGGUCAAUGGACGCAAGUCUGAACCAGCCAUGCCGCGUGAAGGAAGACGGCUCUAUGAGUUGUAAACUGCUUUUGUACGGGGGUAAACGCAGAUACGCGUAUCUGUCUGAGAGUAUCGUACGAAUAAGGAUCGGCUAACUCCGUGCCAGCAGCCGCGGUAAUACGGAGGAUUCAAGCGUUAUCCGGAUUUAUUGGGUUUAAAGGGUGCGUAGGCGGUUGGAUAAGUUAGAGGUGAAAUCCCGAGGCUCAACUUCGGCAUUGCCUCUGAUACUGGUCGGCUAGAGAGUAGGUGAGGUAGGCGGAAUGCACGGUGUAGCGGUGAAAUGCUUAGAGAUCAUACAGAACACCGAUUGCGAAGGCAGCUUACC
rnacentral:rRNA from 1 species